rnacentral:rRNA from 1 species
UGGGGAAUUUUGCGCAAUGGACGAGAGUCUGACGCAGCAACGCCGCGUGGGUGAUGAAGGUCUUCGGACUGUAAAACCCUGUCGUCAGGGACGAAGGUGGCACGACUAAUAAUCGUGUUACUUGACGGUACCUGGAGAGGAAGCCCCGGCUAACUCUGUGCCAGCAGCCGCGGUAAUACAGAGGGGGCAAGCGUUAUUCGGAAUUAUUGGGCGUAAAGGGCGCGUAGGCGGUUUCUUAAGUCAGAUGUGCAAUCCCCGAGCUCAACUUGGGAACUGCAUCUGAGACUGGGAGGCUAGAGUACUGGAGAGGGUGGUGGAAUUCCUCGUGUAGCGGUGAAAUGCGUAGAGAUGAGGAGGAACACCAGUGGCGAAGGCGGCCACCUGGACAGUAACUGACGCU